UCGAGUUAUCGACCCGCCCACCUUUCCAAUUUUUAUUUCAGUUUCCCUCCCUCCCUUUUUCUUUUCGUGUGUGUGUGUGUGUCCCUUCUAUAUACAUACCUCCGAGUAUCCAAAGAAGAAGGGACGAUACAAACUGCAACAGGUAGAAAAUAAAAGAUAUAUAACCUACACACACAGAUAUUGGGAGCCUGUACUACACCUAACCUACUGUUUGAGGCUUGGAUGGGCACAGCCAAAACAGAACGGACGGCCAACGGCUACGAACAUUUCUUUUGUCCUCUACAGUAAAAGAAAGAAGAAAAAAAAGAGGAGAAGGAAAACUUUCCAGCCGUUUCUUUACGGAAGGAAUGAGCCAUUUCACAUCCACCGCAUCUUCAUGCCACCUGGUGGUAUUGUAAUACAGAAAGGAGAAAAUAAAAAGAGGUUUCAAAAAUUCGAGAAAAA